ACGAGUUUUAAUUGAAACCUUUCGCUUAAUUUUCUCGACUUUCCUCACAAUGGCUUUUCUCUCAGCGAAGAAUAAUAACUUUUCUGAAGAACGAAGAACAAUAGUUUUUCCUCAAAAUUUCCGUCAAAAUUGAUCACAGAUUCCUUGUGGAAGAUUGAAGAGCUGAAGAACAUGAAUGUCCUCAUAGAUUCUUUGUCAAAAAAGAGUUGUUCAGCCGGAUUUCAUAUAUGAACAAAAUUCUUCAAACGAACACGACCCACGUCUUAAACCUUUCGGUUUGUUGGAAUAGUGUUUACCAGAAUUGAGUUGAAGCUUAAUCGUCUUUCUCUGAUGAACUAAUGAGCUGAAGAUGAAGAUACCUACGAUUCCUUCCUAAUAUCAAUUUGGAGAAGCUAAAUAACAGACUUUCCAUGGGGAUAGACAUAUUAAUAGCCAUGUCGGGAGAUGAACUUCUUACCUCGUCAACCAUUUUUGGUGGAUUAGGUCUCCACACGUUUAAGAGGAGAACUAGUAAACAGGUCACGAUGGAAGAGAGUACUUGUUAAUGUCGGAUGAGGACUUUAUAAGGCGAUGAAGUUUCAGGUCCUAACGAACAGAAUCGCAACAAGUGUGUAUCUUUUUUGUUGCAUUUAAAGUAAGCUUUUUUUCACUAUAUCUUUUUUAACCCAUCCUGUGCAAUAUUUCAAGCUGUUGAGGUUCAUAAUAAAUGUAGUUUAUGAAUUUUCAGUUUUAGUUAAAUAACAUUUUGAGUAUGAGGUGCCAUUGUUUAUACUGUCUUUAUAAUUUCUGUAUAACAUCAAAGGUGAUUGAUUUAUAAAUUUUUUUCUUCAAGUUCAAAAUUUUGUGAUGAAUCUUUUAAAACUCCAUUCAAAUAUGUUACUUUGUUAUCCUAACUAUUAAUCUAUAUGAAUGAUAAAAUUUAAGCACUGAUUUAAUAUUCUAGUUAUUUUUCAAAUUCUUAAGUUAAUUUCGUAAUCCAUUAGAAUCGAACGCUUCAAAUUACUGAACCAAAUCACUACUACAUGUAACCUCCAGAAUGUUUUGGUACUCAGUGUUUGUCCUUAUCAAGAUUUAUUGGUGUUAUGCGUGUAAAGUGGUAGGUGAGGGCAUGUAUCAUUUUCUUCUACAUUGCGAGCUAUCCAUUAGGUUAUGUUGGGACAUGUUUAGUAGAGAAAAGGUAUUUCUCUAUAUAUAGGAUUUAGAUCAAAAUUGUAUGUUAACUCACUUGUAUGAUUGACUUUAUUUUUGUUUUGUUUUAAUCAUCAGUGCUAGAAAAUAUGCAACUGCUAUAUAUUGAGUGACAACCACUAUUUUUUAGGUUAUCUAGUUUAUCUAUUUUCCAAUUGUUUAAACCAAUCAGACAAUAGGCAUCACACGAUAUCUCAUUAUAACUUCAGUUUAAUAGCAUUGUAUCUUGGUGUUUGUUCACUUCUUUUUCCUAUGUUCACUUAUUUCAUUCUUAGCUCAACUGUAUCAAAUUUCGUAGAUGAGCUUUUUUAACCAUUUUCUCGUGGCUUCUCGUGUAGAAUGGUGCUCAAUACCGAUCCUAGUAUGGCUACUAUAUCAUGGAUUUAUGGUAGUAAAACUGAUUCAUCAUGAUCUACAUUCUCUUCGGGAAUAUGAUUCAAUUUGUUAGUCAUAUCGUUCUAUAUUAUGCUUAUACUAAUCAAAUGGGUCACACCAAAAGAACACUCUCAUUGCCUACUAACCAGCAAAUGUGCUAUGACGACCGAUUCACAAGCUACUUGAUAUUUUUUCACUUAGUUGAUCUAGAUUAUAUUCUAGAUGCUACAUACUUUUGAAUGAUGUUUUUUUAACAAACCGUCUUUCGUUCUCAAUUCAGUAAUUUACAUUCUUAUCUCUCUUUUUAGGAGAAGCAGUUCUGAUUUAUUGUAGACUUGUUAUAUACUUUUGAGACAUGUUUUCUUGUAUUGCAACUAAGUCAGUCCAAGAUAUUUUUUUUCUUCUUCGUUGGUUGUUGAUAUAGUUUUCAAUAAGAUAUAUUUUUUUGUACAGACUCACAUGUACUUUAUAAAAUUUAAGAUAGUCUCUUCAUCAUAUCAAAUCCAAAUAACUAAAAUCCCUACUUCUAUUCAUGUAUAUUCAAUGUUUUUUUUUAUUAUGUUUAAGUAUCCUCUCUUGAUAAAGGAUGAAAAGGUUGUUAUGUGUUUCAUGAGAUCUACUUGAAUUCCUUUCGAAGGCUCUAAUUUAUUCUACAACUUUGGGGGUCGAGGCCAUUUGUCCGCGCAAUCAGAAGGAUAAACAAGAACAGUACAAUAAAAGUAUAAGUACAAAUUUGAAAUUGGAACUGCUUUAAGAUGUUGGCAUGAUGUUAUGUGCUUGUUUUGUUAUUUGAUGCAUUCACAUAGUCGAUUAAUGUUGACAUAUUGAAGUAGCUAUGCUGCAUUAUUUUUCGUGAGCUAAUUAUAGUAAUUUAAUAUAGACUGUUGAUUUGAUAGUUGAAAACAGUAAAUUUCUCCUCUUUAAAUAUAAAGGAUUUCUCUCACUUGAAAUAUUUUUUUCAUUGGUUAGAAAUAGUAUUAGAGUUAUAACAUGCCUUUGUAUAGUCUAUGGAUUACCCUAUGGUUGCAUUCAUGAACCUUAUUUCUUUGUCGUUUAUUUAGCUUUUGAAUGAUAAAUGUUGGCAUUGAUGAUCUGUAUCUUGAAGAAUUUCAGACAUCUUAUCAAUUAGUAUAUGUUAGAAGAGAUGAAUUGGAAAGAUCGAUAUUGUAUUGAACAGGCAGUAUAUAUUCUUUCCUUGAAUGUUUAUCUUUGUCGUUGUAUUAAUUUAUGAAUGAUAAAAGUUGGCAUUGAUGAUAUGUAUCUUGAAGAAUUUAAGAUAUCUUAUCAAUUAGUAUAUGUUAGAAGAGCAGAAGUGGACAGACCUGUAUUGUAUUGAACAGGCAGUAUAUAUGCUUCCCUUAAAUGUUUAUCUUUUUGUCAUGAACCCGUGUCAAAUUGAUGGUGAUUGGGGUCCAACGUGGUGGCCUAGCGGGGCUGACAAAUUGAAGUAAUAACCUUAAUCAUUUGUCCGAGUAGAGGCAACACAAGCAUGGAAGCUGAAGCAAUGGCUCGAGAUGGCUUGAUGACACAUAUUUCCUGGAUUCCUACUUGCAUAGUGAGCCUUUCAUCAUCUACCGCGUUUUCAUACUCUUAUGUAUCUUUCUUCAGAAGAUGUGAUUUCUGCUCCUUCGUGUACCGAUUUUUCUCAGAAUAUCCCUAUCCUUCGUCCGUUAAUUUGAGUUAAUACUUAACUUUGGAUUUCUUAUGAUGUGCAUUUAAUUUUUCCCACUUUAGUUAUACUUAUUCUUCCUACUUCCGAUAUAAAUCAAUCGAUGUUGCUUUCACAGCUUUCCCAGUUUUCAUUCUUGAAUUACUAUUGGUUCAUAAUUAUGGAUUUAACUAUUAGUUAAUUUUGUGCUUUAGGUCAUUUGUAUGUAAUUAUAUGUGAUAUUAUAUUGAAUAUAUGCAAUUCAAAAACAUUGUUAUAGGACGUCCAAUGUUAAAGUUAUGCUUUAUUAGUGUUUAUCUAGAUAAGAUAUAAAGUAUAAACUUUAUAAGUGUUGCUCUAGAUGAGAUAUAGAGUUAUGUUUUAUAAGUGUUGUUAGAUGAGACAUAAAGCUACACGUUUAAGUAUUUCUCUAGAUGAUAUAAAAAGUUACACUUUAUAAGUGUUUCUAUAGAUAAUAUAUAAAAGGCAACACUUUAUAAGUGUUGCUCGAGAUGACAUAAAAGGUAAAACUUAUUUUAAGUGUAACCAAUAACAGUGCAAAUGCAACACUUUUAAGUGUAGUAUAAUAUAAAAUAGGUGUCGCUAAUGCAUCACUAUAAAGUGUGCCCUUAUAUCUUUUAUGCUACGAUUUAUGAGUAUUGACAAA